rnacentral:rRNA from 1 species
UACGUAGGGUGCAAGCGUUGUCCGGAAUUAUUGGGCGUAAAGGGCUCGUAGGCGGUCCAUCGCGUCGGGAGUGAAAAGCUGGGGCUUAACCCCAGUCCUGCUUCCGAUACGGGUGGACUAGAGGUAGGUAGGGGAGAACGGAAUUCCUGGUGUAGCGGUGAAAUGACGCAGAUAAUCAGGAGGAACACCGGUGGCGAAGGCGGUUCUCUGGGCCGAUACUGACACUGAGGAGCGAAAGCGUGGGGAGCGAACAGG